GUGGCUCGAGGAGUCGGCGGGCACUGGACCGCUCCAGGACAGAACUGCCUGCGCCUUACAGUCAUUGGGGAGCCGGAGACUGUUGCCUGGACUGGUGGGCUGACCCAGAAGAUCUCGGAAGUCCUGUCCUGGGCCACGUGGCGGCCGCUGGUCCUCCUCGCGCUUCUGCAGCUCCGGGCCGCCCAGGGCCCCCCCCCCAUCCCGUCUGCGGGCCGCCAGGAAAGCCUCUCCAGCUCGUCGCAAAGUUUCAGCCGCCCCCCGUGGGGGGAACAGACGGAAGGAAAGGAAGUUGGGGACCCGCAGAGAGAGCCCAAGCUGGAGGAGGCUCAGGCAUGUGAGUGGCCCCAGUCCCGAUCCUGGGCUCCCGCUGGCCUCCUGGCUCGUGAGGUGGCUGCUCCAGAAGUGCAACCCGGAAGCCCCGGAGGAGCACGACCGUGACGGGCAUCGAGGGUCACAGGCCGUCCUGGGCAGGAUCUUCAGGGGAGCUCUCCCCACCCAGUCCCAAGACCCCCUUCCCGUCCCUUCACUGCCCCGGCAGCUGCUCUAGGGGCUGGGGCUGGGCACACACGUGUACGCUCCUGACCCUGCUCCCAGCGCCAUCCGGAAAUAAAGUUCUUUUUGCAGCUUAGUGCUGUUCCUUCGGGAUCAGCACCCAGAGCCUGGCCAAUCAGGCCAUCCUGGUUCCUUUCAGCCAUGCCUGAGCCCCAUCCCCUGACUGUGACAUCUCAGUCAUCUCUGGAUGUUGCAGUCCGUAGCUGGCACUGCUUCCCUGGGAAGAGCGACCUGGACCUGAGAAGAGGGUGCUGAGUGGUGCAGAGCAGAAGUUUCUAAUCCUGCCUGCUGCAUCCUGAAACCUUCCUUUCCUGCCUGAGCUUGUCCAUUCUCUCUCACAGCACAUGAGUAGCAGCCCUUGCUACUUUCAGU